GGGUCAGUAGGUUGGUCGUGCCACCGGUACGUACUGGUCUCACUGAUUCCUCCUUCCCGAAGAACCGUAAUGCCAUUAAUUUGGUGUUGCGGGGAAACAGGACUGUUACUUUGAAAAAAUUAGAGUGUUUAAAGCAAGCUAGCGCUUGAAUACAUUAGCAUGGAAUAAUGAAAUAGGACGAUCGAUCCUAUUUUGUUGGUUUCUAGGAUUGACGUA
rnacentral:rRNA from 1 species